GAAGGAUGAGAAGCUUCGACCAAGGUUCGACUCGAGCGCCAGCGAGAGAGCGUUGCCGCAGGCAACGACCCGAAGGGCGAAGCGCGCAGCGCUGAGUAAUCCUUC
rnacentral:sRNA from 1 species